rnacentral:rRNA from 1 species
AUUGAACGCUGGCGGCGUGCUUAUCACAUGCAAGUCGAUCGGUAACGCGGGGGCAACCCUGGCGACGAGAGGCGGACGGGUGAGGAACGCUUGGGAAUCUGCCUAUCAGCGGGGGACAACACGGGGAAACUCGUGCUAAUACCGCAUACGCUCUACGGAGGAAAGCCGGGGACCGCAAGGCCUGGCACUGAUAGAUGAGCCCAAGCCGGAUUAGCUAGUUGGCGGGGUAACGGCUCACCAAGGCGACGAUCCGUAGCUGGCCUGAGAGGACGAUCAGCCACACUGGGACUGAGACACGGCCCAGACUCCUACGGGAGGCAGCAGUGGGGAAUAUUGGACAAUGGGGGAAACCCUGAUCCAGCGACGCCGCGUGGGUGAAGAAGGCCUGCGGGUUGUAAAGCCCUUUCGGUAGGGACGAAAGCUCUCGACCUAACACGUCGGGAGGUUGACUUAACCUACAAAAGAAGCACCGGCUAACUCUGUGCCAGCCGCCGCGGUAAGAC